rfam:Hordeum vulgare subsp. vulgare, WGS project CAJW01000000 data, contig: morex_contig_64399
UAUAUACUUCCUCCGUCCCAAAAUUCUUGUCUUAAAUUUGUCUAGAUAUGAAUGUAUCUAGUCAUGUUUUAGUAUUUUGAUACAUUUAUUUCUAAACAAACUUAAGACAAGAAUUUUGGGACGGAGAGAGUACUAC